UGAACCAGCAACUUGGAGGAAUGUAUAGCGAUAGCUAAUUGCAUCGAAAAUAUGAUGCAAGAUCGAUUUAUUGAAUAAAAUUCUGGGUAGAAUUAUGAUUAUGACAUUGUCUACCCAUGUGUCUUGACCAAAUUACGUGCCAGCAGUCGCGGUAAUACGUAGAAGACUAGUGUUAUUCAUCUUUAAUAGGUUUAAAGGGUACCUAGACGGUAAAUCAAGCCCUAGACGGGACUAAUUUUCUAGAGUUACUUGUGAGGGGGUUUUAAAGUACUAAUGGUGUAGAGAUGAAAUUUUGUAAUACCAUUUUUCGAAAGAAAAGUAAUGGCACAGGUAUAGGCGAAAGCAUCCCCUUAUGUGAUAACUGACGUUGAAGGACGAAGGCUUUGAGUCGCGAACAGGAUUAGAUACCCUGGUAGUCAAAGCAGAAAAUAAUGAGUGUCAUAGAUUAGAUAUUAAAGUUUAUUCUAUAAAUGAAAGUGUAAGCACUCCACCUCAAGAGUAAUUUGGCAACAUUGGAACUGAAAUCAUUAGACCGUUUCUGAAACCAGUAGUGAAGUAUGUUGUUUAAUUUGAUAAUCCGCAAAAAACCUUACCACAAUUUGAAUAUUUAUAUCGUGGAUAUAAUUACAAGCGUUGCACGGCUGUCUUCAGUUAAUGUCGUGAGAUUUUGGUUAGAUCCAUUAAAUUAACGCAAGCCCUUACUUUAUUUUAAAAUAAAGUCGUUCCCCACUAGAUUGGAUAAGAUAACAGGGAUUAAGACAAGUCAUCAUGGCCUGAAUAUUGUGGGCUAUAG
rnacentral:rRNA from 1 species